AACGAACGCUGGCGGCAUGCCUAACACAUGCAAGUCGAACGAGACCUUCGGGUCUAGUGGCGCACGGGUGCGUAACGCGUGGGAACCUGCCCUUAGGUUCGGAAUAACUCCCCGAAAGGGGUGCUAAUACCGGAUAAUGUCUUCGGACCAAAGAUUUAUCGCCUUUGGAUGGGCCCGCGUUGGAUUAGCUAGUUGGUAGGGCAAAAGCCUACCAAGGCGACGAUCCAUAGCUGGUCUGAGAGGAUGAUCAGCCACACUGGGACUGAGACACGGCCCAGACUCCUACGGGAGGCAGCAGUGGGGAAUAGUGGACAAUGGGCGAAAGCCUGAUCCAGCAAUGCCGCGUGAGUGAUGAAGGCCUUAGGGUUGUAAAGCUCUUUUACCCGGGAUGAUAAUGACAGUACCGGGAGAAUAAGCGCCGGCUAACUCCGUG
rnacentral:rRNA from 1 species